CCCGUUGUACACACCGCCCGUCACACCAUGGGAGUUGGUUUUACCUGAACGCCGGUGCGCUAACCCGCAAGGGAGGCAGCCGACCACGGUAGGGUCGAGCGACUGGGGUG
rnacentral:rRNA from 1 species